UUUUUUUUAUGAUUUAUUUAUAUCCUGGAAUGUGCGGGAAAACAGAAUGUGUUAACUGUUCUCGGAAAUACGAGUUUUCUAAUCUCCGUGGUUAAAAUGUGAAAGCCUUCGACAUUCCAAAAAUAACGGCGUCUCAUACCGCCUCUGUCUCACAACAUGUGUCUGAAAAGUCCCCCAAUGUCCAUGACCAAUGCUGCGAUUUGUCUCCAAAAUAUCCUCAUGGAAACCGAUUUGAAACUGGAACCAUUAUUGGGAUUGUUUUGUGGUGUAGAAACGUCUGGCAGGUGUCUGAUCUCUGGGUCAGAUGACUUCACAGCUCUGGUCUUUUCACAUGGCUCUGUGGACCAAGGGAUGGAGCCGCACAGAUACUGAAGGUCACCGCAAUGCAACAAAUGAAAAACAUCCUGAACCCAGAAAAGUGACUCUGAGUAGGUUAAGGGUUCAAACAUGGAAGUAAACGUUUAAAGCCAGAACUUCGUUCCCGAAACGUUAACUCAAACAUGAACUGUAGUUGUCAGAUUGAUUUAUGGAUAAAUGAGCAGCAGGUGCCUUCUUCUGAGGGUGGCUGACAUCAUCAUCAUCACUGAUUUCCAGGGAAGGUCAGAAAAAGGCAAUGUGAAAAAUUCUGAAAAUUCCAUUGAGACUCAUGGGGCGCCACCAGCAGGACAACUAAAAUGGCUUCGCUUUGUAGAAAGCACCCAGGAAAUGGAACAUGUGUGGAUGAUAGGAUGUGUUGGGUCAAUGGAAUAAAUCAGUAUCAUCUGUCCCUGGAGUAUGUUUUUGGGAAAUGGAGAAAUGGUUGGAAAGGCGUUCCCUGCAGCUGUGUCUGUGGAUGCGGAGCAGAGCACCCAAGAGCAACAGAUACGUGCAAUGGUGUUGCAUAGGCUGCUUUAGAUUCGCCUUUUUAUGUGGGAGCAGCUGCCUCUCAGCCUACCAGUCUGGCAAAACUAAUCCCGUUGAACUCCGGAGAAACGUUUCGUCAAGUAGCACAACACCUGACAUUGGUUUCCCCCCUAGUUCUCAAGUGAAAUGGAAGCUUUUAUCUGUCAUUUGCCUUCAACUUUAGGAAGGAAGGAAAUCACUUACAGAGACCAGAGCUUGGCCCGACUGACGCCGCAGUUAUAUAACUGCACAUACUUCACUGCUCUUGAAGUAUUUCUACUCUCUUCAGUUUUUGUUUCUUUUGCUCUGUAACGUCGUUGACAUCUGUAUUUUUUUGUUUUAUUUUAUUCUAGGUGACGCACGGUGGAAAGUGUCAAAUGUGCAUGCCUUAAUUCAAGAAGCUCAUUACUUUAACCCCCAUCUUUCGGAAUGCACUUUGCUAACACGUCAUCAUUAGUUCGUGGUCGACCCUUAAAAUGUGUGAAGGGUUCACUCAGCUUUGGAAGAACCACUGAAGAGCAGGUAUGAUGUGAAGUUAUCUUCAUGUGGUUGCAUCAGUUCUAAGGGCCACAGGCAGCAGGGUGGGAUGCUGGUUAGAAACCACUGCCAUUCAUUUCUAACCACGAUCUGGGUAUACAUUUUCCUAAAUCACUGAGGGAAUCAUUGUUUCCUACUAUGUGUUUCUGCUGGCUGACUCGGGCUGCAGGAGCUGUGCUAAUCGCAAGCAUAAGGAGGUGAAAUAUGAUGGGAAUCUGCCACAGCCUAUGCCAGUUGGUCAGCUGCUGCAGUUUUGCACCUGCUGCAAAUGACGUUAGAGACCAGGCUUAAAAAAACAAGAAACAAAAAACAAUGACAAGUAUCUUCAUAGAAACCUCCCUGAAAUCACAGAGUGAGAAGCCAAAAGAAUGUUUCUAUUAAUUAUUCUCAUUUCUUUCUUUAACAUGUUGCAGUGGUAUCAAAUGUGAAUCAUGUUUGAAACCAAACAAACACAAGUGACUUGACUGAAGUUGACAAAAUUAGAUAACGUAAUCAGAGAAAGAACAGAGGACUUCUCACUGAUAGGGGGUGAAACUCUAACAAGUCCAUCUGUCUCUGUCUGAACUUCAGCAGAGGGUCAACAGAGGAUGGAUAUUUUUAGGUCUGGUCAUUAACUUGGGACAACACCCUGGGACUGUUUGGACCAUAAGUCUUUACAGAGCUCCUCCAUUUGGCCAAAGUCUGUGGUGUUAAGCAGCUCUGUGUUACUCCUCUAGUAUGUGUCCUCUGACUGGACUUGUCCCAAACACAGAUUUGCUCUGUAGUGGAUUGACUCUGACAGUCCCGCCUCAGCUGGUGGACAUCCACUCUGUCAUUCUAUUGUGGAACCACAAGUUUACUUGGGAAUUUAUGUUUUCCCCCAACUGCUGUCCAGGCCCAAAGACAGCAAGGCAGUGAGGCAGCCCCAGAUCAUGAUGAUCCCUCUGCAGAGAAACACUGCUUUAGCCCCACAUGUAGAACUCCAUGUUCUUAGCAAACAAUUCAACCUUUGUUUCAUCCAUCACGAGCACUUUCCCAGUGGUGUUGUGGCAUGUCAAGCUGCUAUUUAGCAAAUGUAAGGCGAGCAUUUUUUUUGGAGAGCGGCUGACAGCGAACACCAUUCUGUCCAAAUGAUAAUGAUGAGUCAAAGAAGUUACAAAGAUUUGUUGUUUUUUUCUGCUGAUUGUGACAUGUGAGAGGGCAGCCAAAACAGAACAAUCUGUCUUUGUAUGUAAGGUUUGGUAAGGAGGAAAAAAAAAAAAGUCAGCGUCACAAAUUGGGGGCAGCAACACAGGCAGCAAAAGACAUUCAAGUAUGUUGUUUUAUUUGCAAUAAAAAUUAGUGUCACCACAGAACUUGGUACAAAGAUACAGUAACAGGUAAAAGUUUGUUAAAUAGUUUUCCUUUUUUAGUGGAAUUUAUGUUUUUAUAUUAACUGAUAAGAGGACAAUGUCUGAGGACAAUGUCUGAGGACAACAUCCUGCAGUAUUUAUUUACUACCUUUUAAGAAAGCCCAUAACACAGUUUUUUUUCUGCACAGGUAACGACCCUUUAAAAUGACCACUUUAGAACACGAUACAUGUAGACGGUUAGAAAAGUGUAACACAUGUAACAGUACACACAGAGCCCAGAAAAAUAAAUGUGUAUAUACAGAAA